rnacentral:rRNA from 1 species
CAGUCGCCACGGGAACACGGAGGGUGCAAGCGUUAAUCGGAAUUACUGGGCGUAAAGCGCACGCAGGCGGUCUGACAAGUCAGAUGUGAAAUCCCCGGGCUUAACCUGGGAACUGCAUUUGAAACUGUCAGGCUGGAGUCUUGUAGAGGGGGGUGGAAUUCCAGGUGUAGCGGUGAAAUGCGUAGAGAUCUGGAGGAAUACCGGUGGCGAAGGCGGCCCCCUGGACAAAGACUGACGCUCAGGUGCGAAAGCGUGGGGAGCAAACAGGAUUAGAUACCCCUGUAGUCCCUGUCUCUUAUAC